rnacentral:lncRNA from 1 species
CUAAAACCGAGUAUAAUACAUUUUCAUGUAUUGCCACUAUAUAAAAUUAGUUAAGAAUACGUUUGCAUCUAUCAAAGUUAUGGUGGAUAAAGAUGGUAGAAGGGUCGAAUGGAGGUUUCUCGAAAAAACUUCAAUCAUCUGAAGGACUACGGGGUGGAAAUAAACUUAGGAAAAGGAACAUAAACUUCCAUUAUAUAAAAAUAAAGUUAUGAAAACAUGGUAAACUUGGCUACUCAACUUCUCAGCUCGUCUGAGGUAGAUACAUUGGAAUUUUGCUAUAAAGACCUUCAAUUGACAGAAUUUAAAAAUUCUGAAGGAACUGUAGACUUCAUUCGAAGGUCUGAUCGACUAUUUGAUUUAACCAACAUCCGAAAUCCUUUGGCCAAAGGAUUCAAAUAUCCUCUUAGUAUUGGGAAUGAAGUCUUUUGGAAACCAUUUAUUGAAGAAAUGAUGUCGUACAUCUUUUUUUAAGCUCUUGGACCCUACCCAAUUGUUACACAAGGUUUAAAACGAAGAAAAGAACAGCUUUUGUUUGAUUCAUGGCAUCCAUAACUUCAAUUAGUGGCAUAUUUGAUUCCGUUGUAAAAUCCAAAAUGAUAAAGUAUCUUUUAACAUACAAACUAUCUCAGGUAGCUAUCUAUCAGGAGAUAAACCUAGUAUUCGAUUUGGUUAGGCCCUGCGAACGGCUCUGCUUUAUUGGUUCGGUUCUUUCCGAUAUUUAUAUUAGUUAAAUUUUCAUUUUCACAAUAACCAGAUCCUAUCGAAUUAUUCUUCUGUGUCAUACGAUUGUAUUUAGGGAAUACUAAUAACCCAACUUGUCCAAUGUUUUCCUCCAUUUAUAAGCGUCUACUCGUCAGGCAUCAUGUUUUCGACGACGGAUGUGAUUGUAUGAGACUCAAUAAUACUAUUGCACAUAGAAGAAAAAGAAGAAAGAAUCAGAAGUCAUAAUGAAGAAUUAUAGCUGAUUAAGAAAUAUGGCCUUAAAAAAAAGCAUUUACUUUUCCAAGACCACGACUAUUGCGAUGUGCCUGCUUUUGUGCAAGCCUUACACAAUUCAAAGAAUGUAUUGUUGCUUACAUCAGUGGAUAUGUAUUAAGGUCAGUUUCCAAGUACAUAGUAUCCCUUGAGGGCUUGGAUGUUCUUUACUGUCAUAAUCCAUGUAACUACUGCCAUUUUUUAAUUGUGAGGAAGUUCAAUGGAUGUCUUCUUUAUCCUUCAAAAAAGUGUAUUGGAUAUCUGUAUAGAAAUUGAAAAAUAUCUCUUGAGACUCAAAAUUCAGAUUAUAUUCAUCAACGGACGGAAUUUUAGCCAUUUCUGAGCAUUUAAAAAAAUAAUUUAUACGAAAGUCAAUUCGAAACCGAUU